AGGACGAACGCUGGCGGCGUGCUUAACACAUGCAAGUCGAGCGGAAAGGCCCUUCGGGGUACUCGAGCGGCGAACGGGUGAGUAACACGUGAGCAACCUGCCCUUAGCUUCGGGAUAGCUCCGGGAAACCGGAAUUAAUACCGGAUAUGACUAUGGCCGACAUCAGCCAUGGUGGAAAGUUUUUCGGCUAGGGAUGGACUCGCGGCCUAUCAGCUAGUUGGUGAGGUAACGGCUCACCAAGGCGACGACGGGUAGCCGGCCUGAGAGGGCGACCGGCCACACUGGGACUGAGACACGGCCCAGACUCCUACGGGAGGCAGCAGUGGGGAAUAUUGCGCAAUGGGCGAAAGCCUGACGCAGCGACGCCGCGUGGGGGAUGAAUGCCUUCGGGUUGUAAACCCCGUUUCAGCAGGACGAAGCGAAAGUGACGGUACCUGCAGAAGAAGCGCCGGCUAACUACGCGCCAGCAGCCGC
rnacentral:rRNA from 1 species